rnacentral:tRNA from 1 species
ACCAAUUAUCUUAUCCUUCCUUUGUCUCUUCAUUUUCAUCCCUGAUUCCAGUUCAUCAUUGCCAACAUCAUGCCGCCAAUAAGCGCUAUACACGAUGGCAGCAGUACAAAAUGCCGUAAUUGUUUGUGAUACAACAUCAGCGCAGACAGUAGCAAUCCUGAUACAAUCAACAGCUUCAGCGCAUCAGCUGACAGGCCGAUAAACGCCAGUCCAACGAUAAUCACUCCAGGCAAUAAUACGCCCCAUCCGCUGCCUAACGUCCGCUGCAACAUGGUUUCACCUCUGGAAUUGAUAAUGAUAACCAAUAUCAUAUGAUAUAUUUUCUCAUUUGUCAGCCAGGGAGAAAGCUAAAGAGAUGAGUUUUACUUAACGGUUGAUGACACGUAUUCAGUAAGGUGAUAAAUUGUCCGACUGUUA